CCAUCUCACAUCAAGCCUUAUCUCCACCGUUGGAGCGGAACAGUCCCCUAUUUCCCUCCGCUCUCUCAAGCUUCCGAGCCCUCACUCUCUCUGCUCUCAGUGAGUCAGAGUCGCUCCAGAAGCCCUAAUUCCCAAACGGCAAAGCAAAUAUUUCCUCCAUUGGAAGGGAGAGAAAGAGCAGCAGCAAGCAAGCAAAGCUUCGAACUCGGAAGCUGAUCUGAGAUGGAUUCGGAUCAGGGGAAGCUGUUCAUUGGUGGGAUUUCAUGGGAGACCAACGAGGACAAGCUCACGGACUACUUCAGCCAGUACGGCGACGUCCUCCAGACCGCCGUCAUGAAGGACAAGACCACUGGCCGCCCCCGUGGGUUCGGGUUCGUCGUCUUCUCCGACCCGGAUGUCCUAGACAAGGUCCUUGAGGAUAAGCACACCAUCGAUGGGAGAACGGUUGAAGCUAAGAGGGCUCUAUCAAGGGAGGAGCAGCAAACCAACGUGAGAUCUGGAGUUGCUAAUGCUGGUCGGAGUGCAGGAGUUGGUGGAACUAUUCGAACCAAAAAGAUUUUUGUGGGCGGCCUGCCUUCAACACUUACAGAGGAAGAAUUCCGUCAGUAUUUUGAAACCUAUGGCACUGUGACUGAUGUAGUAGUAAUGUACGAUCAGAACACCCAACGGCCUCGGGGAUUUGGUUUCAUAUCUUUUGAAAGUGAGGAUGCUGUCGACAGAGUUCUACACAAGACGUUCCACGACUUGAGUGGAAAGAAAGUGGAAGUUAAGCGUGCUCUUCCAAAAGACGCCAAUCCUGGUGGAGGUAACCGUACAAUGAUCAGUGGUGGCGGCUAUCAGGGUUAUGGCAGUUCCGUUGGCAACGGAAGCUCUAUUGAUGGGAGAAUGGAUUCUUCGAGGUACAUGCAGCCCCAUGGUUCUGCUGGUGGCUUCCCACCCUAUGGUUCUUCUGGGUAUGGUACACCUGGCUAUGGGUAUGGUCCCACCAAUGGUGGAAUCGGUUAUACUGGUUAUGGAAGUUAUGGUAGUCCCAGUGCUAGAGCUUAUGGGAACCCAAAUGUCCCUACUCCAGGUUUUGGUGUUGGUCCACAAGGGGGUGCCAGAGCUCCAUGGAGCUCUCAAUCUUCUGGGUUUGGAGCUAUGGGAUAUGGAGGUGCUGCUCCCUGGGGCGCUACCUCUGCUGGUUCUGGGGCUGUUGGUGGCGGUCCUGUCUCCACUCCUUCAGUUCAAUCUCCAGGAGGAGUUGUGGGCUAUGGCAGUCAGGCUUAUGGAUAUGGUGGUUAUGCUGGAGCUGAGGCUGGAUAUGGCAUUGGAGGGCGAUAUGGUAGUUCACCAGGCAAUGGGGUUCGUGGUCCUGGAGUAGGAGAGAUGCAAGGGAGCAAUAUGGGAUACAUGGGAGGUGGUUAUGGAGAUGUGAAUGGGAGCGCAGCAUGGAGAUCUGACCUGUUGCAUGUGUCUGGAAAUUAUGGGAAUAACCCUAAUGCUCCUCAUGGGACUUACAGGCAGGCUCAGCAACAAUGACUUUUCUAAAGUUUACUAUCUCCGGCUUAACAAUUUUCCCGGUGAGGUCAUUGAAUCUUUGCUGCGAUUCUGGUCCGUCGGCAAAGGAAGCAGAUCUCCAGGUUGGAUGUCGCUAUGCAUUGGAACUGAUUUAGAAUUUGAGGGAGAGUAACAGUAACUUGUCUGUGGUGGUUUGAGUUCUGAUAAAAUACUUUCAAGUUUCUCCGAUAUGAUUCAGACGUAGGGAAGAUUGAGUACCACAUUUCUUGAUUUGAUCCGUGAUAAGUAGAAAUUGUGGGGUCUCAAUCUGGUAGCAGCGAGUUAUGGGCAACUAGCGGUUGCUUGAUAGUGGGUUAUGUAAUGUAGUGGUAAUCGUAAAGGUAGUUGACAGAUUGAGAAUGGAAUAAUCAUUUCCUCCUGUAUUUUGCCGUUGUGUUGUUAUACAGGGGAAGAGAUGCUUGGGGCUGAACAUUGGGCAUCAUAGUGGGCGUUUGUGCUCUUCGUGGAAUGGAAUGUGGGAAGAGGUCUUUGAGCUUUAUGAUUUAACCUGAGACAGUCCAUUCCUGAAGCCUCUCGAAUCUUUGUCCUUACCACUCUGGACAGAUCCUUCCCGGCAUCUGAAGUCUAUGGCUUGAUCUGGUUUGAUUACAAAGUCUGUCUGGUAGUUAUUGUGGUGAGAUGAUGAAGUUCUAUGAGGUUGAAGGUAUGUGAUACAGUCAUGGUGGCCUUUUAUGGGAGAGUGUUUCAUUUGGCUAGGCUUUGUUAUGCUUAUAUGUGGUUAGCUCUGAGACAGUAUCCCACUAGGAUUUACACUCUGGAAUCUGAAGUGAAUUAAUCAGAUAUAGUUGAGCCUCUAAAAAGUCAGGUGUUCAGGGCUCUCUUUGAAAUAUGAUCUUACCGUGAUUUUUUUAAUCAGUAUUUAUUAAUAGCUCAUGUCGUGUUACCAUGGCCAAGUCAGUUUACGCUGAGGAAGGAAAAGGAGUCUGCAUUCUAUGAUCUGAUGCAAAUGAUCAUGAUCUUAUUUGAUGGUAUGUUGCAUUGGCAGUGGCAUAGUUUGUUGAUAUGAUCCGGUGGAGAAAUGACAGUCAUUUCUUUUCUAUAAGCAAUAAAAUGCCAUCUCCAUUCUUCA